rnacentral:rRNA from 1 species
UGAGGAAUAUUGGUCAAUGGGCGCAAGCCUGAACCAGCCAUGCCGCGUGCAGGAAGACUGCCCUAUGGGUUGUAAACUGCUUUUAUACAGGAAGAAACACUCCCUCGUGAGGGAGCUUGACGGUACUGUAUGAAUAAGCACCGGCUAACUCCGUGCCAGCAGCCGCGGUAAUACGGAGUGUGCAAGCGUUAUCCGGAAUCAUUGGGUUUAAAGGGUCCGUAGGCGGAUUAAUAAGUCAGGGGUGAAAUCCAACAGCUCAACUGUUGAGCUGCCUUUGAUACUGUUAGUCUUGAGUUAUAUGGAAGUAGAUAGAAUGUGUAGUGUAGCGGUGAAAUGCAUAGAUAUUACACAGAAUACCGACUGCGAAGGCAGUCUACUACGUAUAUACUGACGCUAAUGGACGAAAGCGUGGGGAGCGAACAGGAUUAGAUACCCUGGUAGUCCACGCCGUAAACGAUGGACACUAGUUGUUGGAUUUAUUCAGUGACUAAGCGAAAGUGAUAAGUGUCCCACCUGGGGAGUACGAUCGCAAGAUUG